CCCAAACCCCUGUGAACAUACCAAUUGUUGCCUCGGCGGAUCAGCCCGCUCCCGGUAAAACGGGACGGCCCGCCAGAGGACCCCUAAACUCUGUUUCUAUAUGUAACUUCUGAGUAAAACCAUAAAUAAAUCAAAACUUUCAACAACGGAUCUCUUGGUUCUGGCAUCGAUGAAGAACGCAGCAAAAUGCGAUAAGUAAUGUGAAUUGCAGAAUUCAGUGAAUCAUCGAAUCUUUGAACGCACAUUGCGCCCGCCAGUAUUCUGGCGGGCAUGCCUGUUCGAGCGUCAUUUCAACCCUCAAGCCCCCGGGUUUGGUGUUGGGGAUCGGCGAGCCCUUGCGGCAAGCCGGCCCCGAAAUCUAGUGGCGGUCUCGCUGCAGCUUCCAUUGCGUAAUAGUAAAACCCUCGCAACUGGUACGCGGCGCGGCCAAUCCGUUAAACCCCCAACUUCUGAAUGUUGACCUCGGAUCAGGUAGGAAUACCCGCUGAACUUAACCAUAUCAAUACACGUACGAAAG
rnacentral:rRNA from 1 species